AAAUUCAUAUAGAAGGAGAGAAACAACCUAAUAUAUUUAUAAUAUAAAGUUAAUAAAGAACUUCAAGUUACAUGUCAAUUUAAAGAUAAAAGUCAUCCCACAAAUACUUGAGACGACUUAUGUACACCCAAAAAGGCUCUCUAGGACAAAAUCUUGGUAGGCAUUAAUUAAUCUCUCGCCUCAAGGAUCACGGAGAGAAUUUUCUUAAAUAGCUAAUGCUUCCCAAUGCGAGAUUUCUACAUAAUUUUCUGCAUCUACACGUUUUAAUUCAAAUAAAUUAAUAAAAUUAGCAACCAUAAUACUAGGUGACAUCUUAAAAGGCUUGAACUCUUUUAGUUUCUUCUCUCUUUUCCUUCUAUAGCCCUCUAAUUCUGUAACAAAUUUUGUGUCGUCCUGGGGACAACAUUUCAUAUGAUCUCACGACCUCAAAAACAUGUCCUUCGAUAGCGUGCUCUUCCACUUUAUCUCUUUGUUCGAUAUCCAGAACUCUCACUUGGAGUGAUUCGAGUUUGUUUCCGUUCAGCCAUGUCUGGAAUAGGAACAAAGAAACAAUAAAAAUGGUGGAACCACUCAAUGUGACCUUUUAUGUCACAAUGUAUCAUAGAAGGCAAAAUCAGUUUAAGAAAAUUUAGGAAUUAAUUAAGACAAAAAUAUCAAGCCUAAUUCAUAUACUUAUUUAAGCCACUUUAAUAGUUUCAUUUAAUAAUUAUAAAUACUUAUUCUUAAUCAAAAAAGAGAAGUUGUGGAACAUUUAGAGGAAAUGAAUAAAAAGCAGUACUAAAAUUAUUACACUUUUUUCUAGAAAGCACUUUCUCUAGACUAUUCUUGUGUAUGUGUACAGCACCACAAAGUCAAAAAGCCUUUCUCUUUUCUUUACUUUAUUAACAAAGAGAAAAAAAAGAGUACACUGUUAAUAUACUUCUUAAUUUCUUCCACAAGUCCCCCCUUUUUUAUUAUGAUACAAAGUUCUUUGACAGUUCUAUGGAGAAACGAUGGAAAAAGAAAAAUGAUCAAAUCUAAAAUGUAUUUAUAGCGUUUCCCCCCACAAAUCAGGGUUGGUAUUCCGAUUUACGUCGAAUUCAUACUCCCCCAUUUUUUUCUAACCAUCUAUGCUCUCUAACAGGUAUUUUCAAGUUCUUUAACAAUUAAUUUCAAGAAAUUUUCUCACUUGAUACCAAGAAAUUACUAUUCAAUUAUUUCAAGAAAUUUUUUCACUGUAUCAAUAAAUUACCAUUCAGAAAUGGAGCAUUUUAAACCUGACUUUGAUGUCAUUAAUAUAAAAAUAGGAGUAAAAUCAAUGUGUACCUUAAUAUGUUGCAGCAGAACGAGUUGAUUUUGCUAUCGAAAGAAUCUGCCCCAAGUUUAUUUUGAAUCUCUUAAAAUCAAAGUGUGAUUAUAACGAACUAGAUGUCUUCUGGGUGUAAUUUUUAGAUGGAGUAUGAAAGAAAUUUCUUCUUUCUGUCUCAGUGUUCUUUUGAUUACUUUUCUUCGUCCUCUAUCAAUUUUUCCUCUGAGGAAGUGCUAUCUUUAAUUUAAGAAACUUGUGAUAUAUGUUCACCAGUUAAAUAACCGUUCCCUCUCUUUUUCAAAGUAGUUGUAACUACUCAUAUGGAAGUUAAUCUUAUCCUUUCUUCUGAAAAAUAAUGGGUCGGAUCAGGUCGAUCUACAUGGGCGACCCGUGACCCAAAAUGUAACAAUUUCCCUUUGACUUGAAAUUGUGAAAAUAAAAAAGAAAAGACGAUAAAAAAAUUUAAAACACAUGCAAUUAUUUAACAUAACAUCAACAUUAAUAUUAUUAUGAGUAGUUAGGCCAGUCUUACAUAAUAUAUACGACCGAUCAAGCACACAUGCAUCACUUUUAUUCAUGCUACAUACUUUUACAUGCAUAAGGUAACAACUAGCUAGUUUAUUCUUGUCAUGUUACACCAUAUCACACGUAAGCCUAGGAUACAACCUCUAGUGUAUCGUACUAUAAGCUUUUAAUGAUAUAGCCCUGAUCUGAU
rnacentral:lncRNA from 1 species